AUCAUGGCUCAGGAUGAACGCUGGCGGCGUGCUUAACACAUGCAAGUCGAACGGACUUGAUUGGAGCUUGCUCCGAUCAAGUUAGUGGCGGACGGGUGAGUAACGCGUGGGUAACCUGCCUCACACUGGGGGACAACAGUUGGAAACGACUGCUAAUACCGCAUAAGCAUACAGUGUCGCAUGACACAGUGUGAAAAACUCCGGUGGUGUGAGAUGGACCCGCGUCUGAUUAGCUAGUUGGUGAGGUAACGGCCCACCAAGGCGACGAUCAGUAGCCGGCCUGAGAGGAAGGUCCCCCACACUGGAACUGAGACACGGUCCAGACUCCUACGGGAGGCAGCAGUGAGGAAUAUUGCGCAAUGGGGGCAACCCUGACGCAGCAACGCCGCGUGCGGGAAGAAGGUCUUCGGAUUGUAAACCGUUGUCGCAAGGGAAGAAGACAGUGACGGUACCUUGUGAGAAAGCCACGGCUAACUACGUG
rnacentral:rRNA from 1 species